rnacentral:rRNA from 1 species
GAUGAACGCUGACAGAAUGCUUAACACAUGCAAGUCGAUGGGGAAGGCUGAGCUUGCUUAGCUGGUAACCAUGGCGGACGGGUGAGUAACGCGUAAGGAACUUACCUGCGGGACUGGGAUAACGGGGGGAAACUUCUGACAAGACCGGAUAAAGUUACUGGGCAGCAUUGUUUGGUAAUGAAAGGAGACGCCUGCGGAGAGUCUUGCGUCCUAUUAGCUAGUUGGUUGGGUAACGGCUGACCAAGGCGAAGAUAGGUAGCCGGCCUGAGAGGGUGGACGGCCACAAGGGGACUGAGAUACGGCCCUUACUCCUACGGGAGGCAGCAGUGGGGAAUAUUGGACAAUGGGGGCAACCCUGAUCCAGCAAUUCUGUGUGCACGAAGAAGGUUUUCGGAUUGUAAAGUGCUUUCAGCAGGGAAGAAGGAAGUGACG